GAUGAACGCUGGCGGCGUGCCUAAUACAUGCAAGUCGAGCGAACAGACGAGGAGCUUGCUCCUUUGACGUUAGCGGCGGACGGGUGAGUAACACGUAGGUAACCUACCUAUAAGACUGGGAUAACUUCGGGAAACCGGAGCUAAUACCGGAUAAUAUUUCGAACCGCAUGGUUCGAUAGUGAAAGAUGGCUUUGCUAUCACUUAUAGAUGGACCUGCGCCGUAUUAGCUAGUUGGUAAGGUAACGGCUUACCAAGGCAACGAUACGUAGCCGACCUGAGAGGGUGAUCGGCCACACUGGAACUGAGACACGGUCCAGACUCCUACGGGAGGCAGCAGUAGGGAAUCUUCCGCAAUGGGCGAAAGCCUGACGGAGCAACGCCGCGUGAGUGAUGAAGGUCU
rnacentral:rRNA from 1 species